UGAACGCUGGCGGCGUGCCUAAUACAUGCAAGUCGAGCGAACGGACGAGAAGCUUGCUUUUCUGAUGUUAGCGGCGGACGGGUGAGUAACACGUGGAUAACCUACCUAUAAGACUGGGAUAACUUCGGGAAACCGGAGCUAAUACCGGAUAAUAUUUUGAACCGCAUGGUUCAAAAGUGAAAGACGGUCUUGCUGUCACUUAUAGAUGGAUCCGCGCUGCAUUAGCUAGUUGGUAAGGUAACGGCUUACCAAGGCAACGAUGCAUAGCCGACCUGAGAGGGUGAUCGGCCACACGGGAACUGAGACACGGCCCAGACUCCUACGGGAGGCAGCAGUAGGGAAUCUUCCGCAAUGGGCGAAAGCCUGACGGAGCAACGCCGCGUGAGUGAUGAAGGUCUUCGGAUCGUAAAACUCUGUUAUUAGGGAAGAACAUAUGUGUAAGUAACUGUGCACAUCUUGACGGUACCUAAUCAGAAAGCCACGGCUAACUACGUG
rnacentral:rRNA from 1 species